rnacentral:rRNA from 1 species
AUUGAACGCUGGCGGCAGGCCUAACACAUGCAAGUCGAACGAGUGGCGGACGGGUGAGUCAUGUCUGGGAAACUGCCUGAUGGAGGGGGAUACCUACUGGAAACGGUAGCUAAUACCGCAUACCAUCGGAUGUGCCCAGAUGGGAUUAGCUAGUAGGUGGGGUAAAGGCUCACCUAGGCGAAGAUCCCUAGCUGGUCUGAGUGGAUGACCAGCGACACUGGAACUGAGACAAGGUCCAGACUCCGACGGGAGGCAGCAGUGGGGAAUAUUGCACAAUGGGAGCAAGCCUGAUCCAGCCAUGCCGCGGGUGUGAAGAAGGUAUUCGGAUUGUAAAGCACGUUAAGUUGGGAGGCGUUACCAACAGAAUAAGCACCGGCUAACUUCGUGCCAGCCGCCGCGGUAAUUC